AACGAACGCUGGCGGCAGGCCUAACACAUGCAAGUCGAACGCUCCGCAAGGGGAGUGGCGCACGGGUGAGUAACACGUGGGAACCUACCUUCUGGUACGGAACAACCAAGGGAAACUUUGGCUAAGACCGUAUACGACCUCCGGGUGAAAGAUUGAUCGCCGGAAGAGGGGCCCGCGUCCGAUUAGGUAGUUGGUGAGGUAACGGCUCACCAAGCCUUCGAUCGGUAGCUGGUCUGAGAGGAUGACCAGCCACACUGGGACUGAGACACGGCCCAGACUCCUACGGGAGGCAGCAGUGGGGAAUCUUGGACAAUGGGCGCAAGCCUGAUCCAGCCAUGCCGCGUGGGUGAAGAAGGCCU
rnacentral:rRNA from 1 species